rnacentral:rRNA from 1 species
GCAGCAGGCGCGAAACUUACCCACUCGGGACUUUCGGAGGAGGUAAUGACCAGUUUCAUGUGAAGCUUAUGCUUCUGUGAAUAGGAUCACACUUUUCCAGUGUGGUGAAACCUAGCAGAGGGCCAGUCUGGUGCCAGCAGCUGCGGUAAUUCCAGCUCUGCGAGUUUGCUCCCAUAUUGUUGCAGUUAAAACGCCCGUAGUCGGAAUUGGACAGCAAUGUCCCUACGUUUCAACGCUCACUGUGAACAAAUCAGGGCGCUUAGAGUAUGGUAACAAGAAUGACUCAGCGCAGUAUGAAGUCUUUGUUUCUUUCGGGAAACAAGCUCAAUGAGAGCCAUCGGGGGUGGAUCUAUUUCAUGGCGAGUGGUGGAAUACUUUGACCCAUGAGAGAGACACGGAGGCGAAGGCGUCCACCUAGAGGGUUUCUGUCGAUCAAGGGCGAGAGUAGGAGUAUCCAACCGGAUUAGAGACCCGGGUAGUUCCUACUGUAAACGAUGCCGACAGAGGUUUGUCAUUUUAUAAUGGCAGAACUUUUAGAGAAAUCAUAGUUCUUGGGCUCUGGGGGAACUACGACCGCAAGGCUGAAACUUGAAGGAAUUGACGGAAGGGCACACCAGGGGUGGAGCCUGUGGCUUAAUUUGAAUCAACACGGGGAAACUUACCAGGACCAGAUGUUUUUUAUGACUGACAGGCUUCGGGUCUUUCAGGAUAUUGCUUUUGGUGGUGCAUGGCCGUUGGUGGUGCGUGGGUUGACCUGUCUAGCGUUGAUUCAGCUAACGAGCGAGAUUAUCGCCAAUUAUAUACCUCGCAUUGGCUUCAGUGUUGAGGUUCUAAUUGGGACUCCCUGCGAUUUUAGCAGGCGGAAGAGGGUAGCAAUAACAGGUCCGUGAUGUCC